GACGAACGCUGGCGGCAGGCCUAACACAUGCAAGUCGAACGAAUGGCGGACGGGUGAGUAAUGUCUGGGAAACUGCCCGAUGGAGGGGGAUAACUACUGGAAACGGUAGCUAAUACCGCAUACCAUCGGAUGUGCCCAGAUGGGAUUAGCUAGGAGGUGGGGUAACGGCUCACCUAGGCGACGAGCCCUAGCUGGUCUGAGAGGAGGACCAGCCACACUGGAACGGAGACACGGUCCAGAGUCCUACGGGAGGCAGCAGUGGGGAAUAUUGGGCAAUGGGCGGAAGCCUGAUGCAGCCAUGCCGCGUGUAUUAAGAAGGCCUUCGGGUGGUAAAGUACGUUCAGCGAGGAGGCGUUACUCGCAGAAGAAGCACCGGCUAACUCCGUGCCAGCAGCCGCGGUAAUAC
rnacentral:rRNA from 1 species